rnacentral:rRNA from 1 species
UACGGAGGGCGCAAGCGUUGUUCGGAAUCACUGGGCGUAAAGCGCGUGUAGGCGGCUUGGCAAGUCGGAUGUGAAAUCCCGAGGCUCAACCUCGGAACUGCACUCGAAACUGCCUGGCUCGAGUCCCGGAGAGGGUGGCGGAAUUCCCGGUGUAGGGGUGAAAUCCGUAGAUAUCGGGAGGAACACCAGUGGCGAAGGCGGCCCCCUGGACGGUGCCUGACGCUGAGACGCGAAAGCGUGGGGAGCACACAGG